rnacentral:lncRNA from 1 species
UUUAAUUGUAUCUCAAUAAACUUAUAGAAAGCAAAUAAGGGGAGAAAGGAAAAUUAUUCUUUCAGCAUGAAAUUAUCACACAGCAAUAUUUAUUCCGUUGCCUUCCAGAAAUCUGCAAAGCUCAGUAUGGCAUGACAAUUUGCAACUCUAAACAACUGCAGAUUGUGGGAAGCACUUUCGUUUGAUUAAUUACACAUCACCGGAGACAACUAAUAGUUUUAGAGCUGAAGAUGGCUCCAGAGACUACCUGAUCCUGCUGUCUGGUCUCCCAGUACAAGCUGACCUACUUUGGAGCACUUGGGCCAUCAAAAUGCUACUGCAACGUUAACCAAGAGGCUGUAUGAAAGCAAGUGAUUGAGACUCCUUCUGUGGAGGCUGCAGUCCAGGGAGAGUAAAUGAACAAAG